AGAGUUUGAUCCUGGCUCAGAACGAACGCUGGCGGCGUGGCUAAGGCAUGCAAGUCGAACGGACCUAUCUUGAGGGUAACCAAUUGAUAGGUUAGUGGCGGACGGGUGAGUAAUGAAUGGGUAACGUACCUUGGACUCAGGAAUAGCGGCGGAGCUUCGGCUCCUUUGCGAAAGUGCCGGUAAUUCCUGAUGAUCCCGCAGAAUCGCAUGGUUUUGUGGGCAAAGGUCCGCAGGUCCGAGAUCGGCCCAUUUCCUAUCAGCUUGUUGGUGGGGUAAAAGCCUACCAAGGCAACGACGGGUAGCCGGCGUGAGAGCGCGACCGGCCACAUCGGGACUGAGACACUGCCCGGACACCUACGGGUGGCUGCAGCAACGAAUAUUCCGCAAUGGGCGAAAGCCUGACGGAGCGACGCCGCGUGCAGGAUGAAGUCUUUCGGGAUGUAAACUGCUGUCAGGGGUAAGGAAAAUCUGACCGAACCCACAGGAAGCCUCGGCUAACUCCGUGCCAGCAGCCGCGGUAAGACGGAGGAGGCAAGCGUUGUUCGGAAUCACUGGGCUUAAAGAGCGUGUAGGCGGGGCGGCAAGUAUCUUGUGAAAACCCUCGGCUCAACCGAGGAACUGCAGGGUAUACUGCCGCUCUUGAGUCAAGCAGGGGCACCUGGAACCCUAGGUGGAGCGGUGAAAUGCGUUGAUAUCUAGGGGAACGCCCGUGGCGAAAGCGGGGUGCUGGGCUUGUACUGACGCUGAGACGCGAAAGCGUAGGGAGCAAACGGGAUUAGAUACCCCGGUAGUCUACGCCGUAAACGAUGCGCACUAGGCUCGAGGUUUCUGACGAACUUUGAGCCGAAGCAAAAGUAUUAAGUGCGCCGCCUGGGGAGUACGGCCGCAAGGCUAAAACUCAAAGGAAUUGACGGGGGCACACACAAGCGGUGGAGCAUGUGGAUUAAUUCGAAGCAACGCGAAUAACCUUACCUGGGUUUGACAUGUGCGGAUGCCCUUGGGGAAACUCGAGUAGGCUGCCUUCGGGUGAAACGUGCACAGGUGCUGCAUGGCUGUCGUCAGCUCGUGCUGUGAAGUGUCGGGUUAAGUCCCUUAACGAGCGAAACCCUUAUCGUUAGUUACCAGCGGGUCAUGCCGGGGACUCUAGCGAGACUGCCGGUGUUAAACCGGAGGAAGGUGGGGAUGACGUCAAGUCCUCAUGGCCCUUAUGCCCAGGGUGUCACACGUGCUACAAUGGGGCGCACAGAGCGAUGCAAUACCGCGAGGUGGAGCAAAUCGCACAAAAGGUCCCUUAGUUCGGAUUGGAGUCUGCAAUUCGACUCCAUGAAGCUGGAAUCGCUAGUAAUCGCGCAUCAGCCAUGGCGCGGUGAAUAUGUUCCUGAGCCUUGUACACACCGCCCGUCAAGUCAUGGAAGCUGGGAGCACCCGAAGUCCGUUUGUCAACCGCAAGGGGACGGCGGCCGACGGUGAGCUCGGUGACUGGGACUAAGUCGUAACAAGGUA
rnacentral:rRNA from 1 species